CGGCAGUGAGGAGAAAUUGAAAGGCCGGUCUUACGGCUGCCUCCCGUCCCAGGACGGUAGUAGCGUGAUGUGAUUUCAUUCGGCGAAAGGUUGUACUCUGAGCCGC
rfam:Triticum aestivum genome assembly, contig: Triticum_aestivum_CS42_TGACv1_scaffold_019081_1AS